CCCGCCUUCCGGUGGCGAGGCGGGUUUGUGUGGCUACUGGUUGGCGGGCUCCUCGGAGCUGCAAAGCGACCGGUGGUCGGUUUUGUUACCCCCGAGGGGUCCCGAGCCGCGCCUCGGUGCAGCCACAGCUGUCAAAGUGGAGAGGCAGACGGCGAAGUCCCUCGCGGCGAGGGCGGAUGGAAACUACGUCAGGCGACUCCUGGGAUGGAGGAACUGGAGCAAGGUCUGUUGAUGCAGCCAUGGGCGUGGCUGCCACUCGCGGAGAACUCCCUCUUGGUCAAGGCUUAUAUCACCAAGCAGGGCUAUGCCUUGCUGGUUUCAGAUCUGCAACAGGUGUGGCACGAACAGGUGGACGCUAGUGUGGUCAGCCACAGAGCCAAGGAGCUGAACAAGCGCCUGACUGCCCCCCCUGCAGCUUUUCUCUGUCAUUUGGAUGAUCUGCUUCGCCCAUUGUUGAAGGACACUGCUUGCCCUGGCAAAGCUACCUUUUCCUGUGAUCGUGUGGACGAGGCAAUGAUACUACGGGUGCAGAGUGAGCUCUCUGGUCUCCCCUUUUAUUGGAAUUUCCACUGCAUCCUAGCUAACCCUUCCCUGGUCUCCCAGCAUUUGAUUCGUCCUCUCAUGGGCAUGAGCCUGGCCUUGCAGUGCCAAGGGAGGGAGCUAGCAACCUUGCUUCAAAUGAAAGAUCUAGAGAUCCAGGACUACCAGGAGAGUGGGGCUGUGCUGAGCCGAGAUCGGCUGAAGACAGAGCCAUUUGAAGAAAAUUCCUUCUUGGAACAAUUUAUGGUAGAGACUCUGAAGAAACAGAGAUCAAUCCCAUCAAAAUACAUUUGUCUGUCAACUGUGGAUGAUGUAUCUGCAGAAUCUGUAUGUGGCAGUCACCAGACAAGAGAUCCAAGUGAGACAGGAGCAUCAAGGCACUGGAGACCCUCAGCCCUCAAGCAGUACCUCCCCACAAGGAACUGAAAACCAACUUCUGAGCCAGCCAGAAGAGCCGGUCUCCUCAGCACCAUCCCUCCCAGUGACUGAGAAACACCCCACAGGUCCUUCAGGCCCUGUGAAGAGACCUCAGUUGUCAAAGGUCAAGAGGAAGAAGCUAAGGGGGCUCUUCAGUUAACCUGUCACUGUCUCAACUGCUGAGGAUGGACCUGGAGAAUAGUGCCCUAAUGUCAGCCUAAAAGGCACUCCCAUGGCAGGAGUAUCUCUGACACAGAGUUAUAUAGUCUGAGGCCCCACUGUAGGGGCAAGAUAACUGAAGUCCAUGUUGAAAGGCAUGGGUACUGUUGACCAAGGGAAUCUUGGCUCUAGCCUGUUGGCCGUUGGCCUUCCCUAUCCAAGUGGAAGCCAGCUUCUGAGAAUCCCAUACCUUCCUCUCUUUUGUUAGAGGUUCUCCAGACCCAGGGUCCUACCAUGGACUUUAGAUACAUAGGGCAAGCCAGCAAAAAGGCACAACAUGCUCAGGAAGCCUAUCUACCUUUCUUAAGAGUCUCUAGCCAGUCCCAGGUGCUCCUCAGAGACCUACUUCUCUCUUAAGCAUGGAAUAAAAAGCACUCACACCCCC